rnacentral:rRNA from 1 species
CAGGAUGAACGCUGGCGGCGUGCUUAACACAUGCAAGUCGAACGAAGCAACUGUUACGAUCCCUUCGGGGUGACGACUUGUGACUGAGUGGCGGACGGGUGAGUAACGCGUGGGUAACCUACCUGUACAGGGGGAUAACAGUUGGAAACGACUGCUAAUACCGCAUAAGCGCACAGCAUCGCAUGAUGCAGUGUGAAAAGUUUUUUCGGUAUAAGAUGGACCCGCGUCUGAUUAGCUAGUUGGUGAGGUAACGGCCCACCAAGGCGACGAUCAGUAGCCGACCUGAGAGGGUGACCGGCCACAUUGGGACUGAGACACGGCCCAAACUCCUACGGGAGGCAGCAGUGGGGAAUAUUGCACAAUGGGCGAAAGCCUGAUGCAGCCGACGCCGCGUGAGCGAAGAAGUAUUUCGGUAUGUAAAGCUCUAUCAGCAGGGAAGAUAAUGACGGUACCUGACUAAGAAGCACCGGCUAAAUACGUGCCAGCCGCCGC